CGGGUGAGUAACACGUAUCCAACCUGCCGUCUACUCUUGGACAGCCUUCUGAAAGGAAGAUUAAUACAAGAUGGCAUCAUGAGUUCACAUGUUCACAUGAUUAAAGGUGUUCCGGUAGACGAUGGGGAUGCGUUCCAUUAGAUAGUAGGCGGGGUAACGGCCCACCUAGUCUUCGAUGGAUAGGGGUUCUGAGAGGAAGGUCCCCCACAUUGGAACUGAGACACGGUCCAA
rnacentral:rRNA from 1 species